GUGAGGAAUCUUGGUCAAUGGGCGCAAGCCUGAACCAGCCAUGCCGCGUGCAGGCAGACGGUCCUAUGGAUUGUAAACUGCUUUUAUCUGGGAAUAAACUCCGGUACGUGUACCGGCCUGAAGGUACCAAAGGAAUAAGCACCGGCUAACUCCGUGCCAGCAGCCGCGGUAAUACGGAGUGUGCAAGCGUUAUCCGGAAUCAUUGGGCUUAAAGGGUACGCAGGCCGUCUCAUAAGUCAGUGGUGAAAGCCUACAGCUCAACUGUAGGACUGCCUGUGAUACCGUAGGGCUGAAAUUCGAGCGAAGUGGGCGGAAUGUGACAUGUAGCGGUGAAAUGCUUAGGUAUGUCACAGAACACCGAUAGCGAAGGCAGCUCACUAGGUCUGGAUUGACGCUCAGGGACGAAAGCGUGGGGAGCAAACAGGAUUAGAUAACCUUGUUGUCC
rnacentral:rRNA from 1 species